rnacentral:rRNA from 1 species
UACAGAGGGUGCAAGCGUUGUCCGGAUUUAUUGGGUGUAAAGGGUGCGUAGGCGGGACGAUAAGUCCGAGGUGAAAGCCCGCAGCUUAACUGCGGAACUGCCUUGGAUACUGUCGACCUUGAGUCCCGGAGGGGUGGCUGGAAUUCCUGGUGUAGCGGUGAAAUGCGUAGAUAUCAGGAGGAACACCGGAGGUGUAGACGGGUCACUGGACGGGUACUGACGCUGAGGCACGAAAGCGUGGGGAGCAAACAGG